rnacentral:rRNA from 1 species
UACGAAGGACCCGAGCGUUAUCCGGAUUUAUUGGGUUUAAAGGGUGCGUAGGCGGACUUAUAAGUCAGUGGUGAAAUCUCCAGGCUUAAACCUGGAAACUGCCAUUGAAACUGUUUGUCUUGAGUACAUUUGAGGCGGGCGGAAUGUGUCAUGUAGAGGUGAAAUUCUUAGAUAUGACACAGAACACCAAUUGCGAAGGCAGCUGCUAAAACUGUAACUGACGCUGAAUGCACGAAAGCGUGGGUAG